AAUAUUGGACAAUGGGCGAAAGCCUGAUCCAGCCAUGACGCGUGUGUGAAGAAGGUCUNCGGAUUNUNAAGCACUUUAAGUUGGGNGGAAGAGUUGUAGGCUAAUACCUUGCAAUUUUGACGUUACCAACAGAAUAAGCACCGGCUAACUUCGUGCCAGCAGCCGCGGUAAUACGAAGGGUGCAAGCGUUAAUCGGAAUUACUGGGCGUAAAGCGCGCGUAGGUGGUUUGUCAAGUUGGAAGUGAAAGCCCCGGGCUCAACCUGGGAACUGCUUUCAAAACUGGCAAGCUAGAGUAUGGCAGAGGGUGGUGGAAUUUCCUGUGUAGCGGUGAAAUGCGUAGAUAUAGGAAGGAACACCAGUGGCGAAGGCAGCCCCCUGGGAUAAUACUGACGCUCAGACACGAAAGCGUGGGGAGCAAACAGG
rnacentral:rRNA from 1 species